rnacentral:miRNA from 1 species
ACCACAGACAGUAUCUAACCUGA